AUUUAUAUAGUUUAAACAAAAACAUUACAUUUUCACUGUAAAAAUAAAAAUUUAUUUUUUAUAAAUA
rnacentral:tRNA from 1 species